rnacentral:ncRNA from 2 species
GGCUUGAAGCGGGGGUGCCGUGCGCGAUGGCGGCUGAGAAACACCCUUCGAACCUGGUUCGGUUAGUACCGAUGUAGGGAGCUUCGCCGCACGGUCA